GCUGGGUGUGGUGGCGUGCACCUGUAGUCCCAGCUACUCGGGAGGCUGAGGCAGGAGAAUCGCUUGAACCCGGGAGGCAGAGGUUGCAGUGAGCUGAGAUCUUGCCACUGUACUCCAGCCUGGGUGACAAAGGGAGACUCUGUUUCAA
ensembl:misc_RNA Metazoa_SRP Metazoan signal recognition particle RNA